rnacentral:snRNA from 1 species
AUACUCUAGUUUCUCUUCAGAUCAUACAAAUCUUUCACCCUUCAAUAAAGAUUUCAUGGAGAGAAACUAGAGAGGGGCAUGAAUCAGAAAAAUUGUGAUUCAUUUUGAUUUGUGAUU